rnacentral:tmRNA from 1 species
GGGGGCGACAGGUUUCGACGGGUUGGUUGAAGCUCCUGUGGCGCGCCGAGGACCCCGGUUGGCCUCGUAAAAUAUCCGGGAAAAAAACCAUAAAAGCCAAUACAGAAUUGGCCCUCGCGGCUUAAUUGUUCCGCGACGUCUUACUGCUGACGAUCCGCUAAGCAGAUAAGGCGACGAUAGCGGGUUAGUUGUCGGGCCGCGCGACCGGGCCCGCCGGCGAAAUCAACAGGACGCUGGCUGUGGGCACAAGUUUGCCGGACGACCGUGCCCACAGCGAGACCUUAAAGACCGGACACGCGCGUAGAUGCAGGAGUGACGCUUGCUCGGACGGGGGUUCGAAUCCCCCCGCCUCCAUUU